CCCCAGGUCAGGCGGGGCUACCCGCUGAGUUUAAGCAUAUCAAUAAGCGGAGUAAAA
rnacentral:rRNA from 1 species